UGAGCAUUGACUAUUGUUUUAAAACAUACUUAACAAGUAGAACUUUAGAGUCCGUCCACGAUUUGAAUAUUUCAAGGUAAGUGAACAGAUAUAUACAUCUUUACCUAUUUUCUACUGUUUGAUCAGAUUCUAAAAAUUACCAUGUGAUUUUAUAGAUUUGUCCAGUCAGCAUCAACGCCGUAUUUUAGCUAACACGAGUUCUUCAAUACCCAAUCCAAAGUUGGCUUGAACUUUACGUUGCAUCAAUUUCCGAGCCCCUUGUUGAAACCGAUAAAUCAUUGUUCGUGGAACGACCAGAGAAAUAACAGCUUCAAAAUUGAAGAGCUAAAUCGUAGCAAAGUUUUGAUUGAUACGUGAAACUUACUCCAUGAUACUACAGCAUCAUCUUAUGUCGAAAUUGCAAUAUCAGUGUAGUUUCGACAUAGUAGGCAGAGGUUGUAUAUAAAAAGUUAAUGUUAAAUCAAAAUGUUGAACAGUUAUUUCAAUAAAGUUCCGUAUUUACGCAUUUUUAGAACAAAUGACUUAAUAACGCGUAUUAAUCCUGAGGUCAGUCACACAGAACGUAAAAGUUUGUGAGUAUUAUGCAAUUUAUUUACAAAUAAACUACAGAAAAAGUCACAAAUUACGUAAAUAUUCUGUAAUAUUGAGUUGUAAAAUACAAGUCACAACUGUUACGUAAAUAUUAUGUAACAUUGAGUUGUAACAUAUUAGUUGGCUUGAGGCAGACAUAAUGCACAGUUGGCGCAUCAGUUUGUGAUAAGAUAUUUACGUAAACUGUUACUUCCGUGUGACUUUGUUACAUAUUUAUGUAAGUGUUACGAGUUUUGGUUUGCUGGGAGUAUAUUAGUUGACCUUAUAACUUUGUAAAAUGCAAUUAGUUUCCUCUAUUUUCCAA
rnacentral:lncRNA from 1 species